rnacentral:lncRNA from 1 species
AUAAGAACGACACGUGGCAUCGCGUGGAGCGUAGCAGUGGGAAGUUCAUGAGGAGGUUCAGAUUGCCGGAGAAUGCAAGAGUGGAUCAAGUAAAGGCUUCUAUGGAAAAUGGCGUUCUCACUGUUAGUGUUCCUAAGGAAGAUACUAAGAAGCCUGAUGUGAAGGCCAUUGAAAUUUCUGGUUAAGGUUACUUGGUUACUUUGUGGAAAUUCUCUUGUUAUGUGUGCUGAGGAUCAAGUGUGUGAUUGAUGCUACAAAGAUGUUGUAAAAUACAAGUAGCAAUAUGGUGGUUGAGAAAUAAAAUUUCAUUUUGAUAACUUUGGAUUGUAAGAUCUUAGAAUAGUUUUUAUAUCUGAAGCUCAAAUAAAACUGACUUAAUAUAUAAGAGGUUAACCAUUAUCUGGUGAGGGUUCAAUACUAAAUUUGAUUGAUUAGCAGCAAAUAACAGUACAGAAAAUUGUGAUGGAAUGAACUUAAAGACUGACAGAGCAAUAUGAAUUUAGAGUCACCUUUUGAAUUGAAUCUUUUGAAAUUGAAAGUAUAACAACAUCCCUGAAAGGAAGAAUUUACAGAAUUGAAGAAAGGAAAGAAAGUAUAUUUCUAAGAGAAGACUAAUUCAAUUUCGGACAUACUUGGCAUCGCGUGGAGCGUAGCAGCGGGAAGUUCAUGAGUAGGUUCAGAUUGCCGGAAAAUACCAAAGUUGAUGAAGUAAAGAGUUCUUCGUUCCUUAUUUCAAAAUCGAGUGUUUUUGUUUUGUGGCGGAUCUUGUUU